rnacentral:rRNA from 1 species
CUGAGAGUUUGAUCCUGGCUCAGAACGAACGCUGGCGGCAGGCCUAACACAUGCAAGUCGAGCGGAAACGAUCCUAGCUUGCUAGGAGGCGUCGAGCGGCGGACGGGUGAGUAACACGUGAGAAUCUGCCCAUUAGUGGGGGAUAACCUGGGGAAACCCAGGCUAAUACCGCAUAAUCCCUACGGGGGAAAGCAGGGGACCUUCGGGCCUUGUGCUGAUGGAUGAGCUCGCGUCGGAUUAGCUUGUUGGUGAGGUAAUGGCUCACCAAG